rnacentral:rRNA from 1 species
AACGUAGGUUCCGAGCGUUAUCCGGAUUUACUGGGCGUAAAGCGCGUUCAGGCGGUUUGGCAAGUCGGGCAUGAAAUCCUUCGGCUCAACCGGGGGAGGUUGUCCGAUACUGCUAAACUGGAGGGCAGUAGAGGGUGGUGGAAUUCCGGGUGUAGGUGGUGAAAUGCGUAGAGAUCCGGAGGAACACCAGUGGCGAAAGCGGACCACC